AUUAAAAGGAAUUCGGCAAAAAUUUUAUUCGCCUGUUUAAUAAAAACAUGUCCUUUAGUUAAAAUAAUUUAAGGUCUAACCUGCCCAUUGAUUAAAUUAAAAGGCCGCAGUAAUUUGACUGUGCAAAGGUAGCAUAAUCAUUAGUUUUUUAAUUAAAAGCUUGUAUGAAUGGUUGGACGAGAUAAAAUCUGUCUCUUUAUAAAAAAUAGAAUUUAAUUUUUAAGUUAAAAAGCUUAAAUUUAAAUAAAAGACGAGAAGACCCUAUAGAUCUUUAUAUAAUUUUUUUUAGUAUUAAUAAAGAAAUUUUUAUUUAUUAAUUAAUUUUAUAUUUUAUUGGGGUAAUAAAAAGAUUAAAUAAAUUCUUUAAAAUUUUACAGAAAUUAUUGGUUAUAUGAUCCAUUAUUAAUGAUUAUAAGAUUAAGUUACCUUAGGGAUAACAGCGUAAUUUUUUUAGAGAGUUCUUAUCAAUAAAAAAGUUUGCGACCUCGAUGUUGGAUUAAAAGUAAUUUUGGGUGUAGAAGUUCAAAAUUUUGGUCUGUUCGACCAUUAAAUUUUUACAUGAUCUGAGUUUAGACCGGCGUAAGCCAGGUCGGUUUCUAUCUUUAUUAAUUUAAUAUAUUUUAGUACGAAAGGACCAAAUAUAUAAUAUAUUUAUAUUAAUUUUUUGAAUAUUAUU
rnacentral:rRNA from 1 species